CCAAUGAAGCCAUACAAGUACAAGUCACCACCACCGCCGCCAGUCUAUAAGUCUCCUCCACCACCGGUGUACAAGUACAAAUCUCCUCCCCCGCCGGUUUACAAGUACAAGUCACCACCACCGCCGCCAGUCUAUAAGUCUCCUCCACCACCGGUGUACAAGUACAAAUCUCCUCCCCCGCCGGUUUACAAGUACAAGUCACCACCGCCACCGGUGUACAAGUCGCCUCCUCCACCAACAAAGCCAUACAAGUACAAGUCUCCACCACCACCAGUCUAUAAGUCACCACCGCCACCGGUUUACAAGUAAAAACCCCCCCCGCCACCGGUGUACAAGUAUAAGUCACCGCCGCCUCCAGUCUACAAGUCUCCUCCGCCACCAGUUUACAAGUACAAAUCACCGCCGCCGCCAGUCUAUAAGUCACCACCGCCUCCAAUGAAGCCAUACAAGUACAAGUCACCACCACCGCCGCCGGUUUACAAGUCUCCUCCUCCGCCGGUGUACAAGUACAAAUCACCGCCGCCGCCAGUCUAUAAGUCACCACCGCCUCCAAUGAAGCCAUACAAGUACAAGUCACCACCACCGCCGCCAGUCUAUAAGUCUCCUCCACCACCGGUGUACAAGUACAAAUCACCACCGCCACCGGUUUACAAGUACAAGUCACCGCCGCCGCCGGUGCACAAACCACCUCCACAUUACAUCUCUGCGUCACCCCCUCCACCAUACCACGUCUAGAUGAGUCAACCCCCCAAGGUAAUACUACUAAUCAACAACUCAUAUCCAAUCACUGAAUAAGGGGCCGUUUGACAUAGAGAAAAUAUAUUUGUAUUUGUGGGAAAAUUAUUUAUUUUGAAAUUAACAUAUUUGCAUUAGUGACAAAUAUCACAAAUAUUUUUAGUUAUCAUUGGUUUAUCUUAUUCUGAAAAACAAUAACGUAAUUCUAAUUUCCUCAAAUAAAAAAUUUAGUUCUAUUAUUUAUGAAAUAUACAUAUCAAACAUUAUAGCCUAGCAAGUUUUUAUUAAUUAAUAAUACUGACCCCUCUCUCAACAACUCGAGCUAUUGGAGAUACGAUGAUCGAUUUUGGACAUGGUAUCAUAGAUUUAAAAAACCAAGAGGUCUCCUUUUCAAAUCCCGACAGUCUCCAUUCCGUACAUAUGACUUAUCGUGUGAACCUCAUUUCUUCUUAAAACUUCUGUCUGAAGGGCAUAUUAAUGAAUACUAUAUACAAAAUUGAUCUGAACCUUCCCCCAACAACUUACAAUGCAACGAUUCAUGACAAUUUUCUCGAUUUAGUACUCGAUACUCGGUACGAAACGGUGCCUUAAUUACUAACUUGUGUCUUGGUCCUUGUGUGUUUGCAGGGGAAAGGGCAGAAAGCGAGUUGCCGCGUUUGAAAGACCGAGUACUAUCCUAGGACCAAUGUCGUCGUGUCUUUUUCAGAAAGAGGAAAUUAUUAUUAAAUAAACGUGUUAAUUAAUUAGCAGCAACUUGCAUGGUGAUUAUAUUUAAAUGUUUUGUAUUGUUAUUUGGAACAUUCGCAUUCAAAUGUCGAUUAGGACAUAAUUAAAUUAAACACCUUUGUACUAUUUUGAGUUAUGCAUUGUAAUAAUAAUAACAAAAGCUUUCUUAAUAUUUUCAGUGUCGAGAUUGACACAAAGCGAAUUGUAUCGUAUGUAUACGACUUUACUCGGACGAUUACAGCUGUAGAUGAUCGUUCUUGGUUUGUUUCGGCAGUUCGAUAAUAAAAAAGAAUGAUUGUAUUGUAUACAUUAGUUGGAAGGUUAUUGGGUUAGUGACCCUUCCAUAUGUUCAAAACUAU
rnacentral:lncRNA from 1 species